GCUAAACGCGAAGAACCUUACCAGGUCUUGACAUCCUAGGAACUUUCCAGAGAUGGGAGUGUGCCUUCGGGAACCGUGACACAGGUGCUGCAUGGCUGUCGUCAGCUCGUGUCGUGAGAUGUUGGGUUAAGUCCCGCAACGAGCGCAACCCUUAUCGUAUGUUGCCAGCAUUUAGUUGGGCACUCAUGCGAGACUGCCGGUGAUAAGCCGGAGGAAGGCGGGGACGACGUCAAGUCAUCAUGGCCCUUACGUGUAGGGCUAGAAACGUGCUACAAUGGUGGUCACAAUGGGCAGCAAGGUCGUGAGGCCAAGCUAAUCCCAAAAGCAUCUCAGUUCAGAUUGUAGUCUGCAACUCGACUACAUGAAGUUGGAAUCGCUAGUAAUCGCAAAUCAGCAUGUUGCGGUGAAUACGUUCCCGGGUCUUGUACACACCG
rnacentral:rRNA from 1 species